AUGCACGCUUGCGGCGUGCCUCAUACCUGCCAGUCGAGCGAACAGACGAGGAGCUUGCUCCUCUGACGUUAGCGGCGGACGGGUGAGUAACACGUGGAUAACCUACCUAUAAGACUGGGAUAACUUCGGGAAACCGGAGCUAAUACCGGAUAAUAUAUUGAACCGCAUGGUUCAAUAGUGAAAGACGGUUUUGCUGUCACUUAUAGAUGGAUCCCCGCCGCAUUAGUUAGUUGGUAAGGUAACGGCUUACCAAGGCAACGAUUCGUAGCCGACCUGAGAGGGUGAUCGGCCACACUGGAACUGAGACACGGUCCAGACUCCUACGGGAGGCAGCAGUAGGGAAUCUUCCGCAAUGGGCGAAAGCUUGACGGAGCAACGCCGCGUGAGUGAUGAAGGUCUUCGGAUCGUAAAACUCUGUUAUUAGGGAAGAACAAAUGUGUAAGUAACUAUGCACGUCUUGACGGUACCUAAUCAGAAAGCCACGGCUAACUACGUG
rnacentral:rRNA from 1 species